rnacentral:rRNA from 1 species
GACGAACGCUGGCGGCGUGCUUAACACAUGCAAGUCGAACGGAAAGGCCCUGCUUGCAGGGUACUCGAGUGGCGAACGGGUGAGUAACACGUGGGUGAUCUGCCCUGCACUUCGGGAUAAGCCUGGGAAACUGGGUCUAAUACCGGAUAGGAGCCAUUUUUCGUGUGAGGGUUGGAAAGUUUUUUCGGUGUAGGAUGGGUUCGCGGCCUAUCAGUUUGUUGGUGGGGUAAUGGCCUACCAAGGCGGGGACGGGUAGCCGGCCUGGGUGGGUGGACGGCCACAUUGGGACUGAGAUACGGCCCAGACUCCUACGGGAGGGAGGAGGGGGGAAUAUUGCACAAUGGGCGCGAGCCUGAUGCAGCGACGCCGCGUGGGGGAUGACGGCCUUCGGGUUGUAAACUCCUUUCGCUAGGGACGAAGCUUUUUGUGACGGUACCUAGAAAAGAAGCACCGGCUAACUACGUG